rnacentral:rRNA from 1 species
AAAACUUUACAAUGCGGGCAACCGUGAUAAGGGAACCUCGAGUGCCUGUAUAUGCAGGCUGUUCAGGUGUCUAAAACACACCUGAAGAAAGGGCCGGGCAAGACCGGUGCCAGCCGCCGCGGUAAUACCGGCGGCUCGAGUGGUGGCCACUUUUAUUGGGCUUAAAGCGUUCGUAGCUGGGUUGUUAAGUCUCUUGGGAAAUCUGGCGGCUUAACCGUCAGGCGUCUAAGGGAUACUGGCAAUCUUGGAACCUGGAGAUGUGAGGGGUACUUCGGGGGUAGGAGUGAAAUCCUGUAAUCCUCGAGGGACCACCUGUUGCGAAUGCGCCUCACCAGAACUGCUUCGACAGUGAUGGACGAAAGCUGGGGGAGCAAACCGGAUUAGAUACCCGGGUAGUCCCAGCCGUAAACGAUGUGCGUUAGGUGUAUCGGUGACCACGAGUCACCGAGGUGCCGAAGGGAAACCGUGAAACGUACCGCCUGGGAAGUACGGUCGCAAGGCUGAAACUUAAAGGAAUUGGCGGGGGAGCACCACAACGGGUGGAGCNUGCGGUUUAAUUGGACUCAACGCCGGAAAUCUCACCGGAUAAGACAGCGGAAUGAUUGCCGGGCUGAAGACUCUGCAUGACUAGCUGAGAGGAGGUGCAUGGCCGUCGUCAGUUCGUACUGUGAAGCAUCCUGUUUAGUCAGGCAACGAGCGAGACCCACGCCAACAGUUGCCAGCAUGGCCUCCGGGCUGAUGGGGACACUGUUGGGACCGCCUCUGCUAAAGGGGAGGAAGGAAUGGGCAACGGUAGGUCAGCAUGCCCCGAAUUAUCCGGGCUACACGCGGGCUACAAUGGGCAGGACAAUGGGUAUCAACACCGAAAGGUGAAGGCAAUCUCUUAAACCUGUCCUUAGUUCGGAUUGUGGGCUGUAACUCGCCCACAUGAAGCUGGAAUCCGUAGUAAUCGCGUUUCAAAAUAACGCGGUGAAUGUGUCCCUGCUCC